GGAAGUAACUCAGUUGUAGAGUCCAUGCUUAGCAUGCAGGAGGUCCUGGGUUCAAUCCCCAGUACUUUCA
rnacentral:tRNA from 1 species